AAUGAACGCUGGCGGCAUGCCUAACACAUGCAAGUCGAACGGCAGCACCGUAAGAGCUUGCUCUUACGGGCGGCGAGUGGCGGACGGUUGCGGAAUACAUCGGAAUCUACUUUUUCGUGGGGGAUAACGUAGGGAAACUUACGCUAAUACCGCAUACGACCUACGUGUGUAAGCAGGGGAUCUUCUGACCUUGCGCGAUUGAAUGAGCCGAUGUCGGCUUAGCUAGUUGGCUGGGUAAAGGCCCACCAAGGCGGCGAUCCGUAGCUGGUCUGAGGGGAUGAUCAGCCACACUGGAACUGAGACACGGUCCAGACUCUUACAGGGAGCAGCAGUGGAGAAUAUUAGGCAAUGGAGGAAAGCCUGAUCCUGCAAUACCGCGUGAGGGAAGAAGGAGUUCGGCUUGUAAAGCCAUGAUGUUGGGAAGGAAGAGCAGCAGGUUAAUACGCCGCGAUACUGACGGUACCCAAAGAAUAAGCACCGGCUAACUUCGUG
rnacentral:rRNA from 1 species